UCCGUUUCGUCGAUGGCUCAGGGGGUCUGGAGCACAAGCAGAGCUGCUGUCUAGGUUACCAUGGCACUGGUGCAGAAAUUCGGCCAGCAGCAUGUCCACACAAAAACGUCUGGCACCACAUGGGGUUGGUGUUGUGGAGAAUGUUAAGUCCAUGCGAAUGCAAACCAAACGUGCCGCCGAGGGGCUGUGGUUCUACCUCGAGAGCGAGAGAGCGGUUCCAAGGGAGAGGAGAAGAAAGGGUCUGGC